rnacentral:rRNA from 1 species
GAUGAACGCUGGCGGCGUGCCUAACACAUGCAAGUCGAACGGAGAUUACGGACGGAAGUUUUCGGAUGGAAGACUGUAAUUCUUAGUGGCGGACGGGUGAGUAACGCGUGGGCAACCUGCCCUAUACAGGGGGAUAGCAGCUGGAAACGGCUGUUAAGACCGCAUAAGUCGGUUAAAUCGCAUGAUUUGAUCGGGAAAUGAGCAAUCAGGUAUAGGAUGGGCCCGCGUCCGAUUAGCCAGUUGGCAGGGUAAAAGCCUACCAAAGCGACGAUCGGUAGCCGGAAUGAGAGGUCGGACGGCCACAUUGGGACUGAGACACGGCCCAAACUCCUACGGGAGGCAGCAGUGGGGGAUAUUGCACAAUGGAGGAAACUCUGAUGCAGCGACGCCGCGUGAGUGAAGAAGUAUUUCGGUAUGUAAAGCUCUAUCAGCAGGGAAGAUGAUGACGGUACCUGACUAAGAAGCCCCGGCUAACUACGUG